CCGCGGAGACGGAGCGGAGGGGUCGCGGCCAUUGCGCUGGGGCGGGCGCGGUACCGCCGGUAGAGGACACUCCUUGGAUUACAAAGUGUUUCGGGCACAAUGGCAGAUCCCAUCCGAUGGGCCCGAUACCGUUGGCAGCGACUGAUAUCUGCAGAGGGCAGAGAAGGUAGCAGCAGCAGUAAUUCAAAUAACAAGUGCUAUCAAUCAUCAAAAACUAUUGGCAAACAUAGGAUAGUGAUACCCUGUUUGGGACAUUUUAAGGAAGAGUAUGAAAAAGUAUCAAAACUUUACAUGAACAACAAAAUACGGACUACUAAGUAUACUUUAUUGAAUUUUUUACCACGGAAUUUAUUUGAACAGUUUCACAGAGUUGCCAAUUUGUAUUUCCUAUUUCUAGUUGUCCUAAAUUGGGUUCCUCUGGUGGAAGCCUUCCAGAAAGAAAUUACAAUGCUACCUCUAGUAGCAGUUCUGACAAUUAUUGCAGUGAAGGAUGGUCUGGAAGAUUACUCAAAGUACAAAAUGGAUAAACAGAUAAACAACUUACUAACCAAAGUGUAUAGCAGGAAGGAGAAGAAAUACAUAGAUGAAUGCUGGAAAAAUGUCAAUGUUGGGGACUUCAUCCGGCUUUCGCGUAAUGAAAUCAUUCCUGCUGACAUGGUGCUGUUAUAUUCUAGUGACCCGGAUGGGAUCUGUUACAUUGAAACGGCAGGCCUUGAUGGAGAAACCAAUCUAAAGCAGAGGCAGGUGGUGAGAGGAUAUUCAGAGCAGGUCUCUGAAAUUGAUCCAGAAAAAUUUUCCAGUAGAAUAGAGUGUGAAAGUCCUAACAAUGACCUCAGUCGCUUCCGAGGCUUUGUUGAGCAUUCAAACAAGGAUCGAGUGGGCCUCAGCAAGGAGAACUUACUGCUCCGAGGAUGCACAGUGAGAAACACAGAAGCUGUUGUAGGCAUAGUGGUCUAUGCAGGUCAUGAAACCAAAGCCAUGCUGAAUAACAGCGGCCCUCAUUACAAGCGCAGUAAAUUGGAAAGAAGAGUGAACACUGAUAUUCUUUGGUGUGUUCUGCUUCUAAUUUUGAUGUGUUUAACUGGUGCAAUAGGCCAUGGAAUUUGGUUAAGUAGGUAUUCGGAAAUACCUUUUUUUAACAUCCCUGAGCCAGAUGGGAAAUCGAUUCCUCCAACAUUAGCAGGGUUCAAUAUGUUCUGGACGAUGAUCAUUUUAUUACAGGUCUUGAUCCCAGUUUCUCUCUAUGUUUCAAUUGAAAUUGUCAAAUUGGGACAAAUUUAUUUAAUACAGAAUGACAUUGAUUUUUACCAUGAGAAAACAGACUCAACAAUUCAGUGUCGAGCACUGAAUAUUGCUGAAGACCUUGGCCAGAUUCAGUAUAUCUUCUCUGACAAGACUGGAACCCUCACUGAAAAUAAGAUGGUUUUUCGGAGAUGCAGCAUUGCAGGACAGGAGUAUUGCCAUGAGGAAAAUGCAAAGAGGUUGGAAUCCUAUCAAGAGAUGGAUUCAGAGGAUGAGGAUUCAGCUGAUCGUCAGUGUGGCUCUUCAACCCAUAUGUCAAAAUGUCAGGGGCACAACUGCAGAGGUGUGAAUGAACCGUUGAACAGAAAGUCUUUGAAACAGUUGUCUGGUAGUUACCCUGCACUAGGAAGGGAAGAUGGAGCAGGUGAUGUUCCCCACUCAGGACGUGUUGCUUUCAGCAGCCCCAUUGAAACGGAUGUUGUACCAGACACACAACUGCUGGAGAAGUUCAGCCAAAUUUCUUCUCAUUCCUAUCAACAAGCAGAAGAAGCCAUCAGCAAGUUAUCUUUGGAGACAAUGUACAUCACUGACUUCUUUCUUGCUCUGGCAAUCUGUAAUACUGUUGUAGUUUCAGUCCCCAAUCAGCCACGCCAGAAGAUGAGACGCUCAUCACUGGGUAGGAUGCCUAUUAAAUCGCUCGAGGAAAUCAGACAGAUGUUCCAGAGAUUGUCAGUUUGGAGACUAAGUUCCUCCCCACUUCCAAGUGUAAAAGAGUCAUCACCUGAAAGCCCCAAUAGUUUUGUGAGCAAACUGUCUAUUUUCAGAAUGAAACUGGCUUCAUCUGCUUCGGAUGCAGCUGCUGAAGGGGCUGCUGAGCCUCUCAAUACUGACUGCCCAGAAAAUUGCCAAAUGCCUCAAGAACUAGAUAUGGUGAAUGUAGCUGCUGGCUGUGAACACAGCAGUGCUGCGUCCUCUACUGAAGAGUCUCCCUUAACCAAACUAUGUUACGAAGCUGAGAGUCCAGAUGAAGCUGCCUUGGUUCAUGCUGCUAGAGCUUAUAAAUGUAUUUUACAGUCUAGGACUCCAGAUCAAGUAACUGUGGACUUUGCAGGUCUGGGAUCUUUAACGUUUCAGCUUUUGCAUAUCCUGCCUUUUGAUUCAGUGCGGAAAAGGAUGUCAGUGGUGGUUCGGCAUCCAGUCUCCAACAGUGUGGUGGUGUACACAAAAGGUGCGGACUCAGUCAUGAUGGAUUUGUUGAGAACUGCAUCUGAAGUGGGUACUAGUAAUUCAGAAAUGGAACAAAAGAAGAUUAAAGAGAGAACUCAGAAGCAUUUGGAUGACUAUGCCAGAAGAGGACUGCGCACUCUCUGUAUUGCUAAGAAGGUGAUGAGUGAUGCAGAAUAUGCUGAGUGGUUAAAUCAACAUUUUUUAGCCGAAACCAGUAUUGACAAUAGGGAGGCGCUGCUGCUUGAAUCUGCCACCAGGCUUGAGACAGAACUAACUUUGCUCGGUGCCACUGGCAUUGAAGAUCGCCUGCAGGAAGGUGUUCCAGACACAAUACAGGCAUUACGGAAAGCAGGAAUAAAAAUAUGGAUGCUGACAGGUGACAAGAGAGAGACAGCUAUCAAUAUUGCCUAUGCUUGUAAACUGCUGGAACCGGACGACAGAAUCUUCACUCUCAAAUCACAGAGUAAGGAUGCCUGUGCCUUGGUGAUGAGCAAAAUUUUAGAAGGCAUCCAGAAGAAUACUUCUGCCAAAAAAAACUCCAGUCAGAAUCUUGGGAAUGUCUCUGCAAGUCCCUCCACCCAAGCUCCAGGGUUCAGUGCAGGCCUGGUUAUUGAUGGAAGCACUUUAGAGCAUGUCCUUCAUGACAGCCUACAGAAUAUUUUCUUGGAACUGACAGAAAAAUGUCGGGCUGUGGUCUGCUGCCAAGCCACACCACUGCAGAAGAGUGUCCUGGUCAGACUGGUGCGAAAUAAGCUAAAGGCAAUGACAUUAGCUGUAGGUGAUGGUGCCAAUGAUGUCAGUAUGAUCCAGGUGGCUGACACUGGUGUGGGAAUAUCAGGCCAAGAAGGCAUGCAGGCUGUGAUGGCGAGUGACUUUGCAAUCUCUCAGUUUAGACACCUCAGGAAGCUGCUGCUUGUCCAUGGUCACUGGUGUUAUACCAGACUUACCAACAUGGUGCUUUACUUCUUCUACAAGAAUGUGGCCUAUGUGAACCUCCUGUUCUGGUACCAGUUCUUCUGUGGGUUUUCAGGCACAUCAAUGACUGACUAUUGGAUCCUGAUUCUUUUCAAUCUCCUUUUUACAUCGGUGCCACCCAUCAUUUAUGGUGUCUUGGACAAAGAUGUGCCUGCGGAGAUACUCAUGCAGCUCCCACAGCUGUACAUGAUGAGCCAGAAAUCUGUGGCUUACCUGCCUUCAACUUUCUGGAUAACCUUGCUGGAUGCUUUUUACCAAAGUCUCGUUUGCUUUUUUGUUCCUUACUUUACUUACUAUGGCUCAGACAUAGACAUUUUUUCUUUUGGAAACCCUAUAAACACAGCAGCGCUCUUCAUAAUACUGUUGCACCUUCUCAUUGAGUGCAAGUCUGUGACUUGGAUACAUACAGUAGUUAUAGUUGGCAGCAUCCUGUUUUACUUUGUCUUCUCUCUGGCUUUUGGGGCAACCUGCAAAACCCAUAACCCGCCAUCAAAUCCUUAUUGGAUCAUGGAAAAGCACAUGUCAGACCCAGUAUUUUAUUUAGUUUGCCUCCUGACUACUUGUGUUGCUCUGCUACCCAGAUAUUUGCUGAGAGUUCUCCAAGGAACAUUGUUUAUGUCUCCAGUGGUGAGAGCCAAGCACCUUGACAGACUGACCCAUGAGGAGCAGAGGGAAGCAAUUAAGAGGUGGAAAGAUGACUGCAUUGUAAACUGCAGAGUGGAGUUCCAGGCUACUUCUGGGUCUUCCAUCCCAGCCACAGGUGCUGUAUCGGAGGAAGAAAGCAUUACCAGUGUUUUGCCAACAUCUAAAACACCUUUUCAGGCCUGUUUAAGAGACGGGUUAGUAGAAGACACCUCCUUCUUACCAGACAUUCAAGAUGAGUCUGGGACUACAAAUGGCUUGAACUCUGAAAAGCCCGUAUUUCUGAAUUCAUCAAAGGAAACUAAUUCAGACACACUGGAUGGUAAAAACUCAGGUGCCAAAGUCCGUGCGUGUGCUUCUGAAGAGGUCAGCAGUGCUGUUUCUCUGGGACACAAAGCAGAUCUGAAUUCUGUUUUGUGUGAAGAAGAUACUUUAGUGUAUUUUACAAAGUUGGAAUGCUAACUGUUUAAAACCCAGGAGUAAUAACUGCUGAUUUAUUCUACGUUGUGGUUUUGUUUUCUUCAGCCAAGUAGACUUUGCAUACUGCUUAUUUCUUGUAUGCAGCAUUGCUUUAAUACCUCAUGGUGUUACGGACAGAACAUUGCACGAAUAUGGAUUUGUGGGAUCCAGUUCAGGUAAGCCAACCUGCUCCUUGUGCUGCUAUCCUAAAAUCCUAGCGUUCCCCAGGAUUCAGCACUUGCUGAAGUAUGAAGCAAGCAGAAGGGCUGGGGUGUGGCGUUACUGGUUGGCUUGUUGCAAGACUCCUCCAGUGUGUGCAUACAGUAAUUGGUUUUUACCGUUGUGGUCCAGUUUGCUCACCAGGCUAUUGCAUGGGCCAGCUCGGUGCUGGCCAAACACAAUUUUCACCAUCAGAGAGUGGCCCAGAUGAGACAUACGUGUCUCCCUCACCUUCCUCUUCCACAAAAAGAGCAAAUCCUAGCCCAGCCUUUUGUUCUUCGUGGUAGUUCAUCCUCCUGCUGCAUUUCUCCUUUUUGGUUCCACAUGUCGUUCCAUGUCAUUCGCCACUGACUGCACUUCUUUUCCUCCUCGCCCAACUCAAAUUUUGGCUGCCUGACUUUUCUCUAAACUCUGCCUCAUGCCUGCACUGUAAAAUUGUCUGCAGGGGCAGUGGGUAGCUCCAGUCUGUCUUCAGGUCUUUUCUUAUAAAUAGCAGCUUCUAGCUGAUGACAUUGAGCUUCUUCACUCUCAGAUGUUUUUACAUGCCUCCAGACUUCUAUAAUAAACAGCACAAGCAUCUCUAAAGGCUGCCCAAAAGAAGGUAUAACCCAUUGCAUGUCCCAGAUUUGAGCUCCAUUGCUCAUCUGUCUUGGAGAUGUCCUGCCUCUGCCAGUUUCCCACUGCUCUGCACACUGCACAAAAGCUGGCUGAGGUGCAUGUGGCUACCUCUGGAUUCCAGACUGUCUAAAAUAUUGCCUGCUUUUUACUUCCCUCCCCAAAAAGUUUCAUGGCCAAUUUAUGCAGGAACUUGGGAAACUGUUCCUAUCCGUGAGCACCUGUUGAAAUAAACAGUUUCCUCAGACCGUAGCUGCCAAUGAAUUACUAGUAUUGAGCCCACUUUUUGGUUCUGUUUCUUUCUAAAACUUUCUGCCUUCAAAUUGCCAAGAUUUGUGUGUUUACUUUUAGGCACUGUGUUUGGGGCAAGGGCUCUGCUUUUUAAUUGAACCAUGAGCUUUCCACGUCAGUGAUCAGCAUUACAUAUUUAUCAUCUUUUAAGAUCUCUGCAAGAAUUUAAACAAAUGCUGUGAGGUCUGAGACAGCUGCUGUUAUGCAGGGCAGAUAUUGAGGGCAUGCUAAGUUCAUUCAAAUGCAGGUCCCCACAUGUUACCAAAAGUUUUAAAAGGUUCUGUUUUCAAAAGGUAGAAUGUAAUUAGGGCUGACUCCAUCCCUUCUCCAGUGGUGAGAAAAAUAUCCUUUUUGUUUAGCCUGUAGAAGAAAAACAGUGGAAGGAGCCAGCGAUGACAGCCAUUUCUGCAAAUAUAUUUUUUUUUAUUUGGUUCAACACGUGACAAAAUAUUUUUGGUAAAUUCUAACAUAAGGUUAGUGGGGACCUUUGAAGUGAUGGCAGACAUUCAAAUUCUGAGAGAUCAUGUCGAGCAUGUUGGUUUGCAGUUAGGAUUUUUAGAUGUUUGUCUGUAGCAUCCUUCGUGCUGCAGGCGGCAGCUUGCCAGGAGUGGACUUGAGGUGUCCGGAGUGAAACAUCUCAGCUUUUUCUGCAAGCCAUGGAACUCUGAGGUGUCCAAGAAGACGCAAAACAGCCAGCAGGUUGUGCGGGGAAAUUAGCUGCUGCAAGAGCAGAAUCAUACAGGGACGGACUUGCUGGGACUCAAAGAAGCCACCGGCUCUGCUCCACAGCCCAAAGGCAAGCUCAACUCUACCCUUUCUAUUCCUAGCAGAUGUUCUCCUGUUGUAAAGAGCCCCAGAGAAGCAGGCCAGGACGGUGUUUUCCUGCCCUCAAAGUCAAAUAUUGGUUUUGUUUCUAUUGUCUCAGCUGAAUGUUUCUUCUGCACCUUAAAUGUACGGCCUCUCUUCACCUGUGGCCACAGAGAACAGGUUAUUCUGUUCUGUGGUUCUGCAGGUCUGUGACUCUGUGCCUGAGGUACCUUGAGCUCCCGUGGAGCCGCUCUGGGACUUGCAGUGACACGAGGGGGUGCAGGGCUCAGCUCUCCCCCCUUCCUGUCGCUGCAAAAAGGCAUCUCGGGGACAACACUGGCCUGUGAGCUGCCCUCCUGUCGCCUCUGCUGCGGGAGCAGAACCUGCCGGCAGAUUUGGCAGGGAGGUGACCAUUUAGCCUCAGGAGUUCGCAUGCGUAUCGCACAAAAGCUGUAAGCAUUCGGAGUCACAUCUUCCGAAACCCUCUGUGACUGUAAGCCGUGGCAUCAGAAUAACUACAUGAAGAGACAAGAGUGGCAGUCGCCUGUUAGACCUAGGGGCAGCUGCGUGAUGCCACCGGGACACUUAAAUUGCUGUUCUGUGGCUUUUUACAAGCCUGGUCACCCCACUACUCACUGCUUAGAGCAGUGAGGCGUUCAGGAUGGAUUCUUACAUUGGAUGAAGGAUGAUUUCAUCUGGGUCUCAAAAGUGCAAGGCCCUCAGGGUUGUCUUGAAACUUUAGGUCCUUUUAAAAGUUCCUGUGUGCUGAGAGUGUCAGUACUUUUGUACCCCUUGAAGUGGUACAGAGUAACACGCACACACACAUAUUUUAUUUUUUUCUUGGUGUGUUGUAUUACUGAUGUUGUGUGUUGCUUAAAAUUGUCCACUAUAGGUUGUGUUCUUUUAGAUGACUUUGACAAGCAGUCUAAGUGAUAAAAUUAUCUGUUGUGUAAAA